rnacentral:misc_RNA from 1 species
CAGUCAACAGCAAUCAUCUAAUUGUAAAAAGCCUAGCAUCACAGGCUUUGUUUCUGCUUCUGUUCCAACUGCCAACUUGACUGGCCAAGGAAGGAAAAGUAUGCGACUGUAUGAGCUGCUACAAAUGGAAGCGUGCUAUGAGCUAGGUUCUGUUUCAACGUCACUGGUUGAAAGUGAACAGAGUAAUAUGUGGAGUUGUCAGUCAAGUUCAGAUCCUAUGGAUUCCAGACUGACUUUACAAGAACAGCAAAGAUCUUGUACAUUGAACAA